rnacentral:rRNA from 1 species
GUAGGGUGAACCUGCGGAAGGAUCAUUACAGUAUUCUUUUGCCAGCGCUUAACUGCGCGGCGAAAAACCUUACACACAGUGUCUUUUUGAUACAGAACUCUUGCUUUGGUUUGGCCUAGAGAUAGGUUGGGCCAGAGGUUUAACAAAACACAAUUUAAUUAUUUUUACAGUUAGUCAAAUUUUGAAUUAAUCUUCAAAACUUUCAACAACGGAUCUCUUGGUUCUCGCAUCGAUGAAGAACGCAGCGAAAUGCGAUAAGUAAUAUGAAUUGCAGAUUUUCGUGAAUCAUCGAAUCUUUGAACGCACAUUGCGCCCUCUGGUAUUCCAGAGGGCAUGCCUGUUUGAGCGUCAUUUCUCUCUCAAACCCCCGGGUUUGGUAUUGAGUGAUACUCUUAGUCGGACUAGGCGUUUGCUUGAAAAGUAUUGGCAUGGGUAGUACUGGAUAGUGCUGUCGACCUCUCAAUGUAUUAGGUUUAUCCAACUCGUUGAAUGGUGUGGCGGGAUAUUUCUGGUAUUGUUGGCCCGGCCUUACAACAACCAAACAAGUUGACCUCAAAUCAGGUAGGAAUACCCGCUGAACUUAAGCAUAUCAAUAAGCGGAGGAA